rnacentral:rRNA from 1 species
UACGAAGGGGGCAAGCGUUGUUCGGAUUUACUGGGCGUAAAGCGUACGUAGGCGGAUGAUUAAGUCAGGGGUGAAAUCCCGGGGCUCAACCCCGGAACUGCCUUUGAUACUGGUCGUCUUGAGUCCGGGAGAGGUGAGUGGAACUCCUAGUGUAGAGGUGAAAUUCGUAGAUAUUAGGAAGAACACCAGUGGCGAAGGCGGCUCACUGGCCCGGAACUGACGCUGAGGUACGAAAGCGUGGGGAGCAAACAGGG